AGCGGUGUGGGGAAGUAGCAUCCCGCGUGGUUCAUACCCACGAGAGCGCUGGUGCAAGUCCAGCCGCCGCUUCCA
rnacentral:tRNA from 1 species